CCUGAACGCUGGCGGCGUGGCUAAGACAUGCAAGUCGCACGGGUAGCAAUACCCACGUGGCGGACGGGUGGAGUAAUUUAAUCGCUAAUAGUACCCUCCGAGCCAGGGAGUAGCUGUCCGAAAGGGACGAGGUAAUACCUGAUGAUAUAACUGUGUCGCAUGACAUGGUUCUCAAAGACAGCAAUGCACUCCUGGAGCAGGCGAUAUCGAUCAGCUAGUUGGU
rnacentral:rRNA from 1 species